GGGGUCGUUUUUGGAUUUGACAGCAAAAGCGAUGCUUAAGUGAAAGCAUGUAGAGCGUUGAGGUGGAGCUCUUGAAUAUCCUGUCUCAAACCAUAAAAGACAACACGUCUUACGCACUUGCAGCUUAAUCCGACAAAGUCGAAUUGGCUUAAUUCAGUCGAAGUUUAGUAGGCCGAACAAGUACUUUCACCCACGCCUCCGUCUGUUAGGCAGGGAUUUUGAGAGUUCAGAAAUUACAGACUGGUACUAACCGCACUUCGAGGAAGGUAUAAGAAACUAGAAGAUAAGUUGCUAAUUGGGUGUUUUUGUCCGUUUAGCAGUCGAAAAUCAAACAAAAACUAAACAUGUAGAAGACUUAAAAGUCCGUUGUUUGGACGAGGGUUCGAACCCCUCCGACUCCACGA
rnacentral:tmRNA from 1 species